rnacentral:rRNA from 1 species
CUCUUCGGAGGCAAGGAGACAGGUGGUGCAUGGUUGUCGUCAGCUCGUGUCGUGAGAUGUUGGGUUAAGUCCCGCAACGAGCGCAACCCUUACCCUUAGUUACCAGCGCGUAGUGGCGGGAACUCUAGGGGGACCGCCGAGGACAACUCGGAGGAAGGUGGGGACGACGUCAAAUCAUCAUGCCCCUUAUGUCCUGGGCUACACACGUGCUACAAUGGCCGCAACAAAGGGAAGCAAGAGCGUAAGCUUAAGCGGAUCUCAAAAAAGCGGUCCCAGUUCGGAUUGUGGGCUGCAACCCGCCCACAUGAAGUCGGAGUUGCUAGUAAUCGCGAAUCAGCAUGUCGCGGUGAAUACGUUCCCGGGCCUU